AGGAGGAGAAACUAACCAGGAUUUCCCUAGUAGCGGCGAGCGAACAGGAAAGAGCCCAGCACCGAAUCCCGCGGUUCCGCCGCAGGGAAAUGUGGUGUUCGGGAGGGUCCGGUUAUCCCGGGGCGACGCGUCGCGUCCAAGUCCAUCUUGAAUGGGGCCACUCACCCGCAGAGGGUGCCAGGCCCGUAGCGACCGACGCUCGUCUCGGUAGGAUCUCUCCUUAGAGUCGGGUUGCUUGAGAGUGCAGCUCUAAGUGGGUGGUAAACUCCAUCUAAGGCUAAAUACGACCACGAGACCGAUAGCGAACAAGUACCGUGAGGGAAAGUUGAAAAGAACUUUGAAGAGAGAGUUCAAGAGUACGUGAAACCGUUCAGGGGUAAACCUAAGAAACCCAAAAGAUCGAACGGGGAGAUUCAUCGUCAGCGACCCUGGCUUCGCGUCGGUCGGCGAUGUCCGUGACGCGCCCUGCCUCGUGGCUCGCGCGCGUCCGGGCACGCUGCCGUGCGCAGAUGUCCGGUGAUUCGUCGUCGUGCACUUCUCCCCCGGUAGAACGUCGCGACCCGCUGGGUGCCGGUCUACGGUCCGGGUGUGGUGACUGACGCGCCGCCGGUAAAACGGCGCGCGUCAACCCCCCGGUCGCCCGACCGGCUGCCCGGCGGUACUCGCAAGGUAUCAGGCCGCACGAAACUUCAUCGUGCGUCGAGGCCGUCGCAAGCGCGCGCCAUGGUACACGGUGCACCGACGGACCUGGCGCCGUCACCGGUCCUGGCCGCGCUGCUGGCAGUCACGGUUAACCUUCGACAGGCCUGCGAACGUUCCGCCCCGUCGUCGCGCGUCGAGGUGUCGCGUGCGACGCCAUCGCGUGCGGGCGGGGUUCACGGGACCGAUACCGGUCGGCGACGCUACUGCUUUGGGUACUCUCAGGACCCGUCUUGAAACACGGACCAAGGAGUCUAACAUGUACGCGAGUCAUUGGGAGCUUAUAGCAACCGGACACCUAAAGGCGUAAUGAAAGUGAAGGUCGGCCCUGGUCGUCGACCGAGGGAGGACGGGCGGCGUCUAGUAUGCUGCCCCGCACUCCCGGGGCGUCUCGUUCUCAUCGCGAGAAGAGGCGCACCCAGAGCGUACACGUUGGGACCCGAAAGAUGGUGAACUAUGCCUGGUCAGGACGAAGUCAGGGGAAACCCUGAUGGAGGUCCGUAGCGAUUCUGACGUGCAAAUCGAUCGUCGGAACUGGGUAUAGGGGCGAAAGACUAAUCGAACCAUC
rnacentral:rRNA from 1 species